rnacentral:rRNA from 1 species
UGGGGAAUAUUGCACAAUGGGCGCAAGCCUGAUGCAGCCAUGCCGCGUGUGUGAAGAAGGCCUUCGGGUUGUAAAGCACUUUCAGCGGGGAGGAAGGGAGUAAAGUUAAUACCUUUGCUCAUUGACGUUACCCGCAGAAGAAGCACCGGCUAACCCCGUGCCAGCAGCCGCGGUAAUACGGAGGGUGCAAGCGUUAAUCGGAAUUACUGGGCGUAAAGCGCACGCAGGCGGUUUGUUAAGUCAGAUGUGAAAUCCCCGGGCUCAACCUGGGAACUGCAUCUGAUACUGGCAAGCUUGAGUCUCGUAGAGGGGGGUAGAAUUCCAGGUGUAGCGGUGAAAUGCGUAGAGAUCUGGAGGAAUACCGGUGGCGAAGGCGGCCCCCUGGACGAAGACUGACGCUCAGGUGCGAAAGCGUGGGGAGCAAACAGG